UGUAAGGGUAGGAUUUUUCGUCAGUUUGGCCGCAGUUGGAAGCCAAGUAUUGCCAAGCCUCGUGUUCCCAUCCGCCAGAGCAGCCGUUAGCCCGGCUGCAGUCUAUUAUCUGCUGCUCGCUGAUAAGCAGUAAAAAGUGGCGGAAUGAGCCCAGCAACUACCACAUCUACCUUGGUUCCUUACCGGCGGCAUGCACGAAUCAUAGUACAACUGACUUACUCUGCUCAGUUGUCGCUCAGACGAGAUACCAGGCAAAUUGGAAGGUGGGACCGGUUCAAGUGCUCCGAAAAAAGAUUGCUGUUCGUCUUCAGUCUUUCAAAUGAACAAGGAAAGCAGACUUCAUGAUUCACCUUACGGAAAGAUUCAAAGUAGUUGUGCUCCGUAAUCUUGGCGUGCGUUUCUUCAAAGAUGGAUUUGCGUAUUCCUAAUUCGGCUUUCGUUUGAACUCCUAACGGGAAUUCGUCCUUUGGAGUGAAACUUCCACAUCGUCGGAAGCUUGGAUAUUAAUUGCCCCACAAAUAAGGACUAAGAUAUUUAUCGGCGGCUGCAAGUAUUCCGGCGGACAUCUUCCCCAUCGUUGACUCCGACAGACGACCAGUGUAGAUGAAGCGAAGGAUUUCGUUAAACACGGCCGGCUCGACGACUUCAACUUCGACUUGGUGACGCUUUUUGUUAUCAAGACCCCCAACGACUGCAAUUUACAAAAUAUAACCAGUGAAAUUCAAUAAUACUUGGAUGUCAGCAACCCAGCAACAAAAGUGAGUUUGAAUUUAAACCACAACUUUUUAGUUCUUAGAGAAAUCUUUGUCUUUCUUUGCAUGAACAACAUAAAUUGAUUGUUACGUAUAUACAAAAUAACGCAUGGAUUUAUUUAUAUUGAAUUUCCUCUGGAAAUAAUUAUUUGAUAACCAAUUUUUGUC